AGUGAACGCUGGCGGUAGGCCUAACACAUGCAAGUCGAACGGCAGCACAGUAAGAUCUUGCUCUUACGGGUGGCGAGUGGCGGACGGGUGAGGAAUACAUCGGAAUCUACUUUUUCGUGGGGGAUAACGUAGGGAAACUUACGCUAAUACCGCAUACGACCUACGGGUGAAAGCAGUGGAUCUUCGGACCUUGCGCGAUUGAAUGAGCCGAUGUCGGAUUAGCUAGUUGGCGGGGUAAAGGCCCACCAAGGCGACGAUCCGUAGCUGGUCUGAGAGGAUGAUCAGCCACACUGGAACUGAGACACGGUCCAGAAUCCUAAGGGAGGCAGCAGGGGGGAAAAUUGGACAAUGGGCGGAAGCCUGAUCCAGCCAUACCGCGUGGGUGAAGAAGGCCUUCGGGUUGGAAAGCCCUUUUGUUGGGAAAGAAAAGCAGCAGGUUAAUACCCCGCUGUUCUGACGGUACCCAAAGAAUAAGCACCGGCUAAAUUCGUG
rnacentral:rRNA from 1 species